GAUUGUUGCUGCUGGUGUUGGUGAA
rnacentral:piRNA from 2 species